rnacentral:rRNA from 1 species
CCAAUAGCGUAUAUUAAAGUUGUUGCAGUUAAAAAGCUCGUAGUUGAAUUUCGGGAUCGACGGGUCGGUCGCGCCUCUGGUGUGUACUGGCCCUGUCGGUUUCUCCCUUCUGACGAACCACGAUGUCAUUAAUUUGAUGUCGUGGGGAAUCAGGACUGUUACUUUGAAAAAAUUAGAGUGUUUAAAGCAGGCAUUCGCUUGAAUACAUUAGCAUGGAAUAAUGAAAUAGGACGUUUGAUCUUAUUUUGUUGGUUUCUAAGAUCGACGUAAUGAUUAAUAGGGAUAGUUGGGGGCAUUAGUAUUCAAUUGUCAGAGGUGAAAUUCUUGGAUUUAUUGAAGACUAACUACUGCGAAAGCAUUUGCCAAGGAUGUUCUCAUUAAUCAAGAACGAAAGUUAGGGGAUCGAAGACGAUCAGAUACCGUCGUAGUCUUAACCAUAAACUAUGCCGACUAGGGAUCGGAUGAUGUUAAUUUUUUAAUGACUCAUUCGGCGCCUUACG